UUUGUCCAGUUGUCUAUAGUUUUGUGUAUACAAAGUGAAUUGUUUACAGUGAUGCUUGGUUGUUUUUGGGACGAAGAAAUUUUUAGGUACUUAAGAAUGAGGAUUGCCGUUAUUCUUCGUUUAUACAGUGGCAGUGGAAAUUGUUUUCAGUUCUUCAGAAAGCGUUGGCGUCUCUGCGAAUGUUAAGCCUGUGGGCGUGCAGCCAUAACCUGGCUGAGAAUUCUUUUAGUGUCAGGAAUUACGAACUGCUUAAUGGUUACGAAACUAAACGAAUCUGUCCAUACGGAUGCAUAAGUGUUCACAGGUCCCAGCGCAUGGCAUCCGUCUCUACAGAGCUGCCACUACAUUGCUGGAUCUCUGCAACCUCAGUUUCAGAUAUCUUCAAAGUGUGCAGAACCUUUUGUUUGCACUAAUUGUGGCAAACAUUACCGCUUUAAGGGGAACUUGCAACGACAUGUGAAACAUGAGUGUGGCAAGUUGCCACAGUUUCAGUGUCCCUACUGCCCGAGGCAGAGCACUCAAAAGAGCAAUCUGAUUCGCCAUAUUAAAAAGUUUCAUCCUAUGGAACCGAUUGUAUAAAAUAGUACUCAACCAGUGAUGACGUCAAAUCUUGGGUUGGUUGGUCUACGACAAGAGGCGAAGAACUUUCCAGUCCAGCAUCAGAGGAUAAAUCUUCACUCCGUGCAUUGCGAUCGAGAGGUGUUUUUCCAUGUCCAAAAUGUGGACGGACAUAUGUUCGAAAGGAUUCAUUGAAGAGGCAUCUUCAGUGGGAAUGUGGCAAGGAGCCUACCUUUCAGUGCCCAUUUUGUCCCCAGCGAUGUAAGCGCAAGUCGCACCAGAUUCGUCACAUACGAAGACAGCAUAAAGACUUGGUGGAUGUGAUUGAAGACCUCUCAGAUUCAUAAGUCAUAAUCAUUUGCGCGUUGGACACCAGGUAUUGAGAUUUGUUGUUCUAGAAGUGUAUAGCAUCAUAGUAAGACUGUUACCUUAAUUUUUCAUGCAUCAUUGUCUCACAUAAAGGGCACAUGCCAAUAAAUGGGACAGAAACUGUGAGAAAUGUUAAUAAUGAAGAAUGUAUGUUUAUUGACAUUUGAAAGAGAUUAUACAUGUUUGAUAAAAACCGUCCUGAUUCAUAAAGUUACAUUUCA